GACGAACGCUGGCGGCGUGCCUAAUACAUGCAAGUCGAGCGGACUUAAAAAGCUUGCUUUUUAAGUUAGCGGCGGACGGGUGAGUAACACGUGGGCAACCUGCCUGUAAGACUGGGAUAACUUCGGGAAACCGGAGCUAAUACCGGAUAAUCCUUUUCUACUCAUGUAGAAAAGCUGAAAGACGGUUUACGCUGUCACUUACAGAUGGGCCCGCGGCGCAUUAGCUAGUUGGUGAGGUAACGGCUCACCAAGGCGACGAUGCGUAGCCGACCUGAGAGGGGGAUCGGCCACACUGGGACUGAGACACGGCCCAGACUCCUACGGGGGGCAGCAGUAGGGAAUCUUCCGCAAUGGACGAAAGUCUGACGGAGCAACGCCGCGUGAGUGAUGAAGGUUUUCGGAUCGUAAAACUCUGUUGUUAGGGAAGAACAAGUACGAGAGUAACUGCUCGUACCUUGACGGUACCUAACCAGAAAGCCACGGCUAACUACGUG
rnacentral:rRNA from 1 species